UACGUAGGGAGCAAGCGUUGUCCGGAAUCAUUGGGCGUAAAGCGCGCGUAGGCGGCCCCGUAAGUCCGCUGUGAAGGUCAAAGGCUCAACCUUUGAAAGCCGGUGGAUACUGUGGGGCUAGAGUCCGGAAGAGGCGAGUGGAAUUCCUGGUGUAGCGGUGGAAUGCGCAGAUAUCAGGAGGAACACCAGCGGCGAAGGCGGCGCUCUGGGCCGGUACUGACGCUGAGGAGCGAAAGCGUGGGGAGCAAACAGG
rnacentral:rRNA from 1 species